UUUGGGAAUUGAUGAUAAGAUAUAUCAAUAUGUCAUAGGCAUAUGCAAUGCUGAAUAACAUAUUUGCACGUCAGUCUGAUCCCAUU
rnacentral:snoRNA from 2 species